rnacentral:rRNA from 1 species
AAACGACUCUCRGCAACGGAUAUCUCGGCUCUCAAAUUUAUGAAGAACAUAGCAAAAUGCAAUACUUGGUGUGAAUUGCAGAAUCCCGUGAACUAUCGAGUCUUUAAACGCAAGUUGCACCCAAAGCCACUAGGCCGAGGGCACGUCUAACUGGGUGUCAUGC